CCAGCCUGUAGCUCAGCUUGCUUUUCCUUAAACCCUGGAUGCACACUCGUGUCCAGCCAGGCGGCAGCUUAGCCUGGGAACACUGCAAGCAGUACCGAACGCGCCAGCUAGCGUCAAGCUACCAGCACCGAGUCGUCCCCGGCAUUGUGAGCGUGUUGUGACAUUUGACACCCCAAAACGAGGCAAGGACCGAAGGUUGACGAGUCUGCUGUAGGAAGCAGAUGCGCGUCAGCGACGAGACCGCGUCCAACUUGUUGGCGUUCCUGCUGGACGCGAGUCCGGAGACAUGUUUGGAGAAGAGGCGUGUCACGUGACACAACACCAGGCUAGCGUCUUGUGACUCACGUGACCAGAAAGAGGCGGCAAAGCGUUGGCCCGGUCCAAGAAAAAAACGAAACGAAACCGCGCUUAUGAUGAUGAUGUUGUCAGGGCUGGUUUGCUUCAUUUCUACCGAGAAUUCAAAGCGAGAAUUGUCCCUGCCUCCACGCCUUUACGGCAUUCGCUUCCUUUUUCUUUGGGUGGUCAGAAAGGGGAUGCGCGCAGUGUGGCCACCUCGACCCGCAAACGGACAUCGAUGAGCGGAAGCUCGAUGAACGGAGGCUGUCCACUGGAGAUGACAAGCUGCAAAAUUAAUCGUUUUGCAUGACUUAGUACGAUUUUGGCUGAAUUCAUUAUACUGUACAUCAAAUGCUAUACCUUGACUAAAGAUGUUGGCAUGGGACAGUGGAAUGAAUUACUAUUUAACACCAUGUUGAGUGGACGGAAGAUGUUCCAGUUGCAAAUCACCAAUUAAUUUAUGGGCCCCGAAUUACAUUACUAAGAGAUACUACACUCAAUCUUAACCAAAAAACCGGGAAAUUAUCGGACAACUUAAGUCCCGACACUACGAGCUACAGUGACGGUGACAAAUGUCAACUAACCACAACAAAACACAUUUAUAUGCCAAACAGCAACAUUUUAUGUAACAAUGAUGCCAAUUGUGUCGUUGUACAGCCCACAAAAUAAAACAAAUGUCGAGCAA